ACGAAGUAGCAAUACUUAGUGGCAGACGGGUGAGUAACAUGUAGGUAUCUGCCCUUUGGCCUGGAAUAACACGAGGAAACUUGUGCUAAUACCGGAUAAGUCUUUACGGAGAAAGCUUUAUGCACCAUUGGAUGAGCCUGCACUUGAUUAGUUUGUUGGUAGGGUAAUGGCCUACCAAGACUGUGAUCAAUAGCUGAUUUGAGAGGAUGAUCAGCCACAUUGGGACUGAGACACGGCCCAAACUCCUACGGGAGGCAGCAGUGGGGAAUCUUGCACAAUGGAGGAAACUCUGAUGCAGCGAUGCCGCGUGAGUGAAGAAGGCCCUUGGGUUGUAAAGCUCUUUCGUCGGGGAAGAAAAUGACUGUACCCGAAUAAGAAGGUCCGGCUAACUUCGUGCCAGCAGCCGCGGUAAUACGAAGGGACCUAGCGUAGUUCGGAAUUACUGGGCUUAAAGAGUUCGUAGGUGGUUGAAAAAGUUGGUGGUGAAAUCCCAGAGCUUAACUCUGGAACUGCCAUCAAAACUUUUCAGCUUGAGUUUGAUAGAGGAAAGCAGAAUUUCUAGUGUAGAGGUGAAAUUCGUAGAUAUUAGAAAGAAUACCAAUUGCGAAGGCAGCUUUCUGGAUCAUUACUGACACUGAGGAACGAAAGCAUGGGUAGCGAAGAGGAUUAGAUACCCUCGUAGUCCAUGCCGUAAACGAUGUGUGUUAGACGUUGGAAAUUUAUUUUCAGUGUCGCAGCGAAAGCGAUAAACACACCGCCUGGGGAGUACGACCGCAAGGUUAAAACUCAAAUGAAUUGACGGGGACCCGCACAAGUAGUGGAGCAUGUGGUU
rnacentral:rRNA from 1 species